rnacentral:rRNA from 11 species
UAACCGCUGAAAGCAUCUAAGCGCGAAGCAGGCCUCGAGAUGAUUUCUCACUAGACUUUUAAAGUCUCUGAAGGGCCGUUGAAGACUACAACGUUGAUAGGCUGGGUGUGGAAGCGCUGUGAGGCGUUGAGCUAACCAGUACUAAUUGCUCGUGAGGCUUGACU